UACGGGGGGGGCAAGUGUUCUUCGGAAUGACUGGGCGUAAAGGGCACGUAGGCGGUGAAUCGGGUUGAAAGUGAAAGUCGCCAAAAAGUGGCGGAAUGCUCUCGAAACCAAUUCACUUGAGUGAGACAGAGGAGAGUGGAAUUUCGUGUGUAGGGGUGAAAUCCGUAAAUAUACGAAGGAACGCCAAAAGCGAAGGCAGCUCUCUGGGUCCCUACCGACGCUGGGGUGCGAAAGCGUGGGGAGCAAACAGG
rnacentral:rRNA from 1 species